UACGUAGGGUGCAAGCGUUAAUCGGAAUUACUGGGCGUAAAGCGUGCGCAGGCGGUUGUGCAAGACAGAUGUGAAAUCCCCGGGCUCAACCUGGGAAUUGCAUUUGUGACUGCAUCGCUGGAGUGCGGCAGAGGGGGAUGGAAUUCCGCGUGUAGCAGUGAAAUGCGUAGAUAUGCGGAGGAACACCGAUGGCGAAGGCAGGUCUCUGGGCAUUAACUGACGCUGAGGAGCGAAAGCAUGGGGAGCGAACAGG
rnacentral:rRNA from 1 species